rnacentral:lncRNA from 1 species
AAAUUCAAUGAAUGAACUUGAAUAGAGAAGUGCGGAUGGUAGAUUGUAGGGUAACUCCUCACUGACCCUUGUUAUACAAUCAUAAUUGUGCUUGUAGAAUGACUUAUAUGAAGUUAUAUCUAUACAUGUCCCUCUUACCUACAAGGGAGAGAAGAAACAGCAAACAAGUGCUGCCAGGAUGUUAGGUGGAACCACAAAAGGAGUUUUUACAUGUCUUGUUGAAUGAGUGAGAUUUCUAGAGAGGGUGUAGGUAUGAGAAUGGGAAGCAGAGAGAAAUCUAUCCCUAGAGCAAUGGAAUAAUUUUGUCCACGGCUAUUACGCUCCUGCAAAUAACUCUGUUGCCCAACAGGAAUCAGGAAGACACACCUAUGUGGCCAAUAGUAUGGAGAUAUGGAAAAUCUUUUUAAGAUGUUUGUGUGUAUUUUAAGUCUUUAAGAAUGUUAAAUCUAUAAUAUUCUACAAUUAUAUAUAUAUAUAUAUAUAUAUAUAUAUAUAGUUGCAAAAUCGACCAGUUUUGUGUAUUAUGCUAAUGAUCUAGUAGCCCAAAUUUUGCUAUACUAGCUUAAACCUCCUGAAGUGCUGG